rnacentral:rRNA from 1 species
AACGAACGCUGGCGGCGCGCCUAAUACAUGCAAGUCGAGCGAGAAGACGUAGCAAUACGUUUGUAAAGCGGCGAACGGGUGAGGAAUACAUGGGUAACCUACCCUCGAGUGGGGAAUAACUAGCCGAAAGGUUAGCUAAUACCGCGUACGCUCCUUGGACUUCGGUUCAGGGAGGAAAGCGAUACCGUGGGUAUCGCGCUCUUGGAUGGGCUCAUGUCCUAUCAGCUUGUUGGUGAGGUAACGGCUCACCAAGGCUUCGACGGGUAGCUGGUCUGAGAGGACGAUCAGCCACACUGGCACUGCGACACGGGCCAGACUCCCACGGGAGGCAGCAGUGAGGAAUAUUGGUCAAUGGACGAAAGUCUGAACCAGCAACGCCGCGUGAGGGAUGAAGCACCAAGGUGUGUAAACCUCUGUUAGAGGGGACGAACGAUCCCGAUCUUCGGGAUGUGACGGUACCCUCAGAGAAAGCCCCGGCUAACUCCGUGCCAGCAGCCGCGGUAA